rnacentral:rRNA from 1 species
UGAUACUAAGCCAUGCGAGUCAUUGUAGCAAUACAAGGCAUACGGCUCAGUAACGCGUAGUCAACCUAACCUAUGGACGGGAAUAACCUCGGGAAACUGAGAAUAAUGCCCGAUAGAACAUUAUGCCUGGAAUGGUUUAUGUUCCAAAUGAUUUAUCGCCGUAGGAUGGGACUGCGGCCUAUCAGUUUGUUGGUGAGGUAAUGGCCCACCAAGACUAUUACAGGUACGGGCUCCGAGAGGAGUAGCCCGGAGAUGGGUACUGAGACACGGACCCAGGCCCUAUGGGGCGCAGCAGGCGAGAAAACUUUGCAAUGUGCGAAAGCACGACAAGGUUAAUCCGAGUGGUUUCUGCUAAAGGAACCUUUUGUCAGUCCUAGAAACACUGAUGAAUAAGGGGUGGGCAAGUUCUGGUGUCAGCCGCCGCGGUAAAACCAGCACCUCAAGUGGUCAGGAUGAUUAUUGGGCCUAAAGCAUCCGUAGCCGGCUCUGUAAGUUUUCGGUUAAAUCUGUACGCUCAACGUACAGGCUGCCGGGAAUACUGCAAAGCUAGGGAGUGGGAGAGGUAGACGGUACUCGGUAGGAAGGGGUAAAAUCCUUUGAUCUAUUGAUGACCACCUGUGGCGAAGGCGGUCUACCAGAACACGUCCGACGGUGAGGGAUGAAAGCUGGGGGAGCAAACCGGAUUAGAUACCCGGGUAGUCCCAGCUGUAAACCAUGCAAACUCAGUGAUGCAUUGGCUUGUGGCCAAUGCAGUGCUGCAGGGAAGCCGUUAAGUUUGCCGCCUGGGAAGUACGUACGCAAGUAUGAAACUUAAAGGAAUUGGCGGGGGAGCACCACAAGGGGUGAAGCCUGCGGUUCAAUUGG